GACGAACGCUGGCGGCGCGCCUAACACAUGCAAGUCGAACGAGAGAUGAGGAGCUUGCUCUUCAAAUCGAGUGGCGAACGGGUGAGUAACGCGUGAGGAACCUGCCUCAAAGAGGGGGACAACAGUUGGAAACGACUGCUAAUACCGCAUAAGCCCACGGCUCGGCAUCGAGCAGAGGGAAAAGGAGCAAUCCGCUUUGAGAUGGCCUCGCGUCCGAUUAGCUAGUUGGUGAGGUAACGGCCCACCAAGGCGACGAUCGGUAGCCGGACUGAGAGGUUGAACGGCCACAUUGGGACUGAGACACGGCCCAGACUCCUACGGGAGGCAGCAGUGGGGAAUAUUGCACAAUGGGGGAAACCCUGAUGCAGCGACGCCGCGUGGAGGAAGAAGGUCUUCGGAUUGUAAACUCCUGUUGUUGAGGAAGAUAAUGACGGUACUCAACAAGGAAGUGACGGCUAACUACGUGCCAGCAGCCGCGGUAAAACGUAGGUCACAAGCGUUGUCCGGAAUUACUGGGUGUAAAGGGAGCGCAGGCGGGAGAACAAGUUGGAAGUGAAAUCCAUGGGCUCAACCCAUGAACUGCUUUCAAAACUGUUUUUCUUGAGUAGUGCAGAGGUAGGCGGAAUUCCCGGUGUAGCGGUGGAAUGCGUAGAUAUCGGGAGGAACACCAGUGGCGAAGGCGGCCUACUGGGCACCAACUGACGCUGAGGCUCGAAAGUGUGGGUAGCAAACAGGAUUAGAUACCCUGGUAGUCCACACCGUAAACGAUGAUUACUAGGUGUUGGAGGAUUGACCCCUUCAGUGCCGCAGUUAACACAAUAAGUAAUCCACCUGGGGAGUACGACCGCAAGGUUGAAACUCAAAGGAAUUGACGGGGGCCCGCACAAGCAGUGGAGUAUGUGGUUUAAUUCGACGCAACGCGAAGAACCUUACCAAGUCUUGACAUCCCUUGACGAACAUAGAAAUAUGUUUUCUCUUCGGAGCAAGGAGACAGGUGGUGCAUGGUUGUCGUCAGCUCGUGUCGUGAGAUGUUGGGUUAAGUCCCGCAACGAGCGCAACCCUUAUGGUCAGUUACUACGCAAGAGGACUCUGGCCAGACUGCCGUUGACAAAACGGAGGAAGGUGGGGAUGACGUCAAAUCAUCAUGCCCUUUAUGACUUGGGCUACACACGUACUACAAUGGCGUUAAACAAAGAGAAGCAAGACCGCGAGGUGGAGCAAAACUCAGAAACAACGUCCCAGUUCGGACUGCAGGCUGCAACUCGCCUGCACGAAGUCGGAAUUGCUAGUAAUCGUGGAUCAGCAUGCCACGGUGAAUACGUUCCCGGGCCU
rnacentral:rRNA from 1 species